rnacentral:piRNA from 1 species
UGGUGCAUUAGUGAAUUCCUAAGGAUGA